CCCUUAGAGUUUGAUCCUGGCUCAGGAUGAACGCUGGCGGCGUGCUUAACACAUGCAAGUCGAACGAAGCAUUUAAGACGGAUUCUUUCGGGAUGAAGACUUUUAUGACUGAGUGGCGGACGGGUGAGUAACGCGUGGGUAACCUGCCUCACACAGGGGGAUAGCAGUUGGAAACGGCUGAUAAUACCGCAUAAGCGCACAGUACCGCAUGGUACAGUGUGAAAAACUCCGGUGGUGUGAGAUGGACCCGCGUCUGAUUAGCUUGUUGGCAGGGUAACGGCCUACCAAGGCAACGAUCAGUAGCCGACCUGAGAGGGUGACCGGCCACAUUGGGACUGAGACACGGCCCAGACUCCUACGGGAGGCAGCAGUGGGGAAUAUUGCACAAUGGAGGAAACUCUGAUGCAGCGACGCCGCGUGAGUGAAGAAGUAUUUCGGUAUGUAAAGCUCUAUCAGCAGGGAAGAUAGAGACGGUACCUGACUAAGAAGCUCCGG
rnacentral:rRNA from 1 species